AGCGAACGCUGGCGGCAGGCUUAACACAUGCAAGUCGAACGGGCAUAGCAAUAUGUCAGUGGCAGACGGGUGAGUAACGCGUGGGAACGUACCUUUUGGUUCGGAACAACACAGGGAAACUUGUGCUAAUACCGGAUAAGCCCUUACGGGGAAAGAUUUAUCGCCGAAAGAUCGGCCCGCGUCUGAUUAGCUAGUUGGUAGGGUAAUAGCCUACCAAGGCGACGAUCAGUAGCUGGUCUGAGAGGAUGAUCAGCCACAUUGGGACUGAGACACGGCCCAAACUCCUACGGGAGGCAGCAGUGGGGAAUAUUGGACAAUGGGCGAAAGCCUGAGCCAGCCAUGCCGCGUGAGUGAUGAAGGCCCUAGGGUUGUAAAGCUCUUUUGUGCGGGAAGAUAAUGACGGUACCGCAAGAAUAAGCCCCGGCUAACUUCGUG
rnacentral:rRNA from 1 species